rnacentral:rRNA from 1 species
UACGGAGGGUGCAAGCGUUAUCCGGAUUCACUGGGUUUAAAGGGUGCGUAGGUGGGAAUGUAAGUCAGUGGUGAAAUCUCCCAAGCUUAACUUGGGAACUGCCGUUGAUACUAUAGAUCUUGAAUGCUGUGGAGGUGAGCGGAAUAUGUCAUGUAGCGGUGAAAUGCUUAGAUAUGACAUAGAACACCAAUUGCGAAGGCAGCUCACUACCCAGAUAUUGACACUGAGGCACGAAAGCGUGGGGAUCAAACAGG